rnacentral:lncRNA from 1 species
ACUGUACACACUUCUUUGUUAUACUAAUUUAAAGAUCUGUAUACUUUUUGGUUUGAUUCAAAAUUUUAUUUUAGUGAUAUUUGUAAAAAAAAAACAGGGUGGGGGGGGGGGGGUUCACAUGUCCCGCCGUGUCUCAAAAACAAUAAAUGGUUAUUGCUUAAAACUUCCUCAGAAACUAUUUAUGAUUAUUGCAUAAAACUUCCACACAAGACGUCGGGCGUAUCAUGCGCUCAUGGCGCAGCUGUUUAUUUUUACUAUCA